rnacentral:lncRNA from 13 species
GGUUGAGUACUGAGGAAUUUUUAUUUUUCUACAUGUCUCCAGGGGAUUCAGAUGCAAAAUGUGGAGCAAUGAAGGCAUCGUUCUGAGACCUGCACCGGAAUACCACGCCGAGUCCUUGCUCGUGCCCACGAGUGCUUUGUGUUUCGCUGUGAUGUGUGUGCAGCCGUACAUGGGCCUGCUGAGGCUGAUACCGCAGUCAUUCUUUCCAAGAAAGCUUUCAUCUGCUGAAGGGUGACUACAAAGCUGAUAGCGAAGGUUGGUCUCAAAUUCCUGGGCUCAAGCCAUCCUCCACCUUGGCCUCCCAGAGUGCUGGGCUUACAGGGAUGAGCCACCGUACCUGCCUGCCCAGUGACUGUUAUGUCAACCUCACCCCUGCUUCCCUGAGAGGUACGUCAAGAAGGGAGAGGCUCUUGACAGUCUGUGGAUGACAGCUCUAUAAUUUCAGCAUUGUUUUUAAUACAAUGUAAGUGCCAUACACACACACACAGACACACACACACACACGUGGCUUUACUUUACAUCUGCUUUUGCAGAUAAUUGAUUUGUGUGUACUUGUCUCUGCUAGAGUUCAGUAAUUUGCCUCUGUUCCUUUUUUUAAAAUUUUUUUUCUGUUGUCCCCUCCCAGUUGUUCUAAAUCCUCGAUGGAAAAAAAAUGUGAAGCACUCCCACUAUGCUUUCUCUGCAGCCUCCUUUUUUUUUUUUUUUUUUUUUUUUUUUUUUUUUUUUUUUUUUUUUUUUUUUUUUGCAAGGAAGCCUGUCAUGCAAGGGAAAGUCAGACGCAUGAGAUU